rnacentral:rRNA from 1 species
UACGUAGGUGGCAAGCGUUGUCCGGAUUUACUGGGCGUAAAGAGCGCGCAGGCGGUCGUUCAAGUCGCGUGUGAAAGCCCCCGGCUCAACUGGGGAGGGUCACGCGAUACUGAUCGACUGGAAGGCAGGAGAGGGUAGUGGAAUUCCCGGUGUAGUGGUGAAAUGCGUAGAUAUCGGGAGGAACACCAGUGGCGAAGGCGGCUGGCUGGACCGCAACUGACGCUGAGGAACGAAAGCUAGGGGAGCAAACAGG